AGCGAACGCUGGCGGCAGGCCUAACACAUGCAAGUCGAACGGACCCUUCGGGGUUAGUGGCGGACGGGUGAGUAACACGUGGGAACGUGCCUUUAGGUUCGGAAUAGCUCCUGGAAACGGGUGGUAAUGCCGAAUGUGCCCUUCGGGGGAAAGAUUUAUCGCCGUUGGAGCGGCCCGCGUCCGAUUAGCUAGUUGGUGAGGUAAUGGCUCACCAAGGCGACGAUCAGUAGCUGGUCUGAGAGGAUGACCAGCCACAUUGGGACUGGGACACGGCCCAAACUCCUACGGGAGGCAGCAGUGGGGAAUCUUGCGCAAUGGGCGAAAGCCUGACGCAGCCAUGCCGCGUGGAUGAUGAAGGUCUUAGGAUUGUAAAAUCCUUUCACCGGUGAAGAUAAUGACUGUAGCCGGAGAAGAAGCCCCGGCUAACUUCGUGCCAGCCGCCGCGGUAACAC
rnacentral:rRNA from 1 species